GUGAUUUUUUGAAAUAACAGUAAAAAAGUAACCAGUAAAUGUCUUUUAUUUUUUUUAAGUGCAGCUUCUAAACACUUCAAAAAAAUGUACACAUAGAAGACAAGUCAUUCUGAGGAAAUAUGCAUAGUUUCAUGACUAUACAACACUAUAUGGAUGAUAGAAAAUUAAAAAACUAUCAUACAUCUGAUGUCACUCUGUCCCUCUGUCACUGUGGGUAAUGUGUGUGUGUGUGUGUGUGUGUUAAGUGAAUUAGGUGUGAAACUAUCAGGGAGCAUUUAGUCUCCAGUGCCAACAUUUUACAGAACUGCCACUUUCCUGGAGUCUCAGAAUUACAAUGUGUCAGGUUCUGAGAAAUCUAAGAUUCCAAAAAAUGAUUUAAUUAGAAUACCAUGAAGUAUUGUGAAAUACUAUAUAUUAAGACUUUAUAUAUAGGCUUCAUGAACAGAUUAGAGUGACUCGUGAAGGACCAGCACCACCUCCUCUUGUCUGAUGGUUUGAGGAAUAUAUCUUCCAGAAUCCGGGAUUAAGAUUUAGAAGCUCAUUUUUAUUCCACCUCCUUUCCUGAAAGUCUGUCUUGCAGAAUUGACUAAAAAUUAAUCUUCACAUUAAUUCCUAAUUAUUUUGCAAUUCUUUUUGUCAGUUCUUCUUGACCUGUUUUUUUCUUCUUCUUUUCUGACCUCAUGACCCAGUCAGCAUUUUUUGUAUAAUGGUCAAGUCUUAACUUAUCCAUUUCUGUAUUGCAUUUGUGUUUGAUAUUUCUCAUGGGUAUUUCAUAAUUUUCGACUUUACAGUUUGAGUUAAAACUCUUUUUUAGCGCAUUCCAUCUGCAAAAGAAAACAUGCCUAAUAAUUCUACACACAUGAAUAUAAAGUGUUUUUCUCUUCCAGCUUUCCUGGACUAUUGUAUAGCACUUAUAAAUGAUUAAAUAAAAAUAAUGGUAGUUAUUAAGAUUGA